AACGAACGCUGGCGGCAUGCCUAACACAUGCAAGUCGAACGAGAUCUUCGGGUCUAGUGGCGCACGGGUGCGUAACGCGUGGGAAUCUGCCCUUUGGUUCGGAAUAACAGUUGGAAACGACUGCUAAUACCAGAUGAUGACGAAAGUCCAAAGAUUUAUCGCCAGAGGAUGAGCCCGCGUAGGAUUAGCUAGUUGGUGUGGUAAAGGCGCACCAAGGCGACGAUCCUUAGCUGGUCUGAGAGGAUGAUCAGCCACACUGGGACUGAGACACGGCCCAGACCCCUACGGGAGGCAGCAGUGGGGAAUAUUGGACAAUGGGCGAAAGCCUGAUCCAGCAAUGCCGCGUGAGUGAUGAAGGCCUUAGGGUUGUAAAGCUCUUUUACCCGGGAUGAUAAUGACAGUACCGUAAGAAUAAGCACCGGCUAACUACGUGCCAGCCGCCGCGGUAA
rnacentral:rRNA from 1 species